CAGUAGCCGCGGUAAAACGGAGGGGGCUAGCGUUGUUCGGAAUUACUGGGCGUAAAGCGCACGUGGGCGGACCGGAAAGUCAGAGGUGAAAUCCCAGGGCUCAACCUUGGAACUGCCUUUGAAACUCCUGGUCUUGAGGUCGAGAGAGGUGAGUGGAAUUCCGAGUGUAGAGGUGAAAUUCGUAGAUAUUCGGAGGAACACCAGUGGCGAAGGCGGCUCACUGGCUCGAUACUGACGCUGAGGUGCGAAAGCGUGGGGAGCAAACAGGAUUAGAUACCCCCGUAGUCCCUGUCUCUUAUAC
rnacentral:rRNA from 1 species